UACGAAGGGGGCUAGCGUUGUUUGGAAUCACUGGGCGUAAAGGGCGCGUAGGCGGCCGAUCAAGUCGGGGGUGAAAGCCUGUGGCUCAACCACAGAAUUGCCUUCGAUACUGUUUGGCUUGAGACCGGAAGAGGUAAGUGGAACUGCGAGUGUAGAGGUGAAAUUCGUAGAUAUUCGCAAGAACACCAGUGGCGAAGGCGGCUUACUGGUCCGGUUCUGACGCUGAGGCGCGAAAGCGUGGGGAGCAAACAGG
rnacentral:rRNA from 1 species